rnacentral:rRNA from 1 species
AGUGAACGCUGGCGGUAGGCCUAACACAUGCAAGUCGAACGGCAGCACAGUAAGAGCUUGCUCUUACGGGUGGCGAGUGGCGGACGGGUGAGGAAUACAUCGGAAUCUACUUUUUCGUGGGGGAUAACGUAGGGAAACUUACGCUAAUACCGCAUACGACCUACGGGUGAAAGCAGGGGAUCUUCGGACCUUGCGCGAUUGAAUGAGCCGAUGUCGGAUUAGCUAGUUGGCGGGGUAAAGGCCCACCAAGGCGACGAUCCGUAGCUGGUCUGAGAGGAUGAGCAGCCACACUGAACCUGAGACAGGGCCCAGCCUCUAAGGGGAGCCACAAUGGGGAAUUUUGGGACAAGGGGCACAGGCCUGACCCACCCAUCCCGGGGGGGUAAAAAAGGCUUUGGGUUUUAAAGCCCUUUUUGUGGGAAAAAAAAAGAAGAGGGUAAAUCCCCCGCUGUUCGGAGGUUCCCAAAAAAAAAGACCCCGGCAACUUUCGUC